rnacentral:rRNA from 1 species
UUCAAUAAACAGUAAUUGAACAAGCCUGAUCUCAUCUGAUCUCAGAAGCUAAGCAGGGUCAGGCCUGGUUAGUACUUAGAUGUGAGACCACCUAGGAAGACCAGGUGCUGUAGGCG